CAACUAUAGAUUUGUUCCAAAUGCAUUUGAAAUAAUUCUCCCUAGUUGCCAGCAGUACCUUUCUUUAUAAAUCCAGCAGGAAGUAGUAUGCUAAUCCAAUUGGAACAGCGAUGAGCAAGCCAAAUAUAACCCUACAGGCAAUCACUCUGGGUUGUGAAGCCAUGAAUAGGCCUGACCAGAAAAAGAUUAAAGAGAUCUUCGAUGGAGGAAUAAAGAAGUGCAUUGCAAGAGAAGUAAGUUAAAUCUUGAGUAACAACUACAGUGAAGAAAGAAUUUUGCUAUUUAUGUUAAAAGUGUGAGAAUAAGUGUUCUAGAGAGCUGCUAUAAAGCUUGAAAUUUUGCCAGGAAAAUAAAAGGUCAUGGCGUUUCUUCUUCAAGCUCCCUUAAUUCUUUUUCAGUUAAAUUUUUGUGUUUACUAUCUAGAUUUGAGGUUGAUUACUCAUAACCACUUGGGCUUGGACCAGGGUUUGGAAUCUUGCAAAGUUAGUGAAUCUAUCCGAUCACUCGGCCUAGGUUGCUGUUGAGCGUCGACAGGUGGGCCAUUGGGAUGGUGUAUUUAUCAAUCUCUAAUUUUGAUAACACAUGGAAUUAUUCCGAGGUCAUCUGUCGCAGAAUGGCAUAUACUGUGAGGUAAGGAAACAUAAAAUCAAACACUAUUUGCAAAUUAGGACUAUUGGUAAUGUUUUAUCUUGAUAUUUGUUUCAAAUGCAUAUUUAUAUGUUGGUGUUGACAAUAACCAAUUUCGAAGAUUAAAUAUUAUAGGAGAUCUAGGAAAAGUUUAGGUGGUUGUGUGUGGUUUCAAUACGUGUCCUUUUCUCCCUUUUCUUUCUAGUGAGUAUUUCAUUUUCUAUCAGUUUGCUACGCAUGAAAUAUCUUUGGUUAAAAGCAAAAAGUGAGGCCAAAUUUAUACUCGAUUUUUUCUUUUCCAACAAUAAAUAAAGAGUAUAAUAUAUAUUUAUCACUUCGAAAUCCUAGCUCUAUCUCAUGUUUUGGUGUUUCAUCCGCCUUCCAUUUUCAAAUGUUCUCCUUUUUUUUUUAUAAAUAUUUUGUUUUCAAUUUCGAAAAUUUAUGUAUCACUUUAAUGGUAUGCAAUUAUUUUAGCCCUUAAUUUCAAUUUGGAAGCUAACUAAAUAUUAAUUGGAAUCUAUAAUGUUUUUUUUCUCUUAAGAGUAGUAAACGUUUUGAAUGUAACCUAGGGGGUAUUAUCUACGUGCACAAUAUCUUCAUUAGUUUUAACUUGCAAGUGUUCAUGUGAAAUUUUACUAGUUAUUUUUAUUAAUUAUUAUAGAAUGCAUGUGUAUACAUUUCCAUACUUGAUUAUACAAAGAAGUAAGGAAUAUUUUAAUUUUGUCGUCUGACUACCUUUUGUUGAGCUCUCUUUUAUUUCAUGUUAUUAGAGUAUAUAUAGGUGCCUUGUUAUCCUAGAAUAUAGCUUAAGAUUAGCAGCUUGGCACAUUUGAUUUCUUUUCGUAAAGGUAUCUCUAUUAGCUAGAGUGACGACUCACCCUCACCUGCCGACCCAUAUAUUUAUGUACGUUUUUAGGUGUUUUGCGUUAGCGUUACAUAAAUACUACUAUAUGAGUUUGGUUUCAUUUUAAUUAACCAAUAGUACUAUAAAGUUUCCACUAUCUCUGGAUAUUGUAUAUCAAGCUGAUAAAUAUUACUCUUACUAGUUACUACUAUAUUGAAUAAAUCUGGUUUGUUUUUCAAAAUUUCAAUUUUUCUGAAUUUUCUCACGGCAAAGUUUUCUGUUUUAACGAAUACCUCUCGCACAACAUUCUCGUCUAGUCGCGCUCUCUGUUUCAUCUACCCCACGACUGACGGCUCCUCUGAUUACCAACAUCGUCCAACAUUCCAACUUUUAAUCUACAGUAUACUAUUUAAAAAUAUAGAUCCCUAAAUAAUUUUUAAUAUAAAAAUCACUUGAGUAUUGUUUUUCUAAAUAUUCUUUAAUUAAAACCACAGAUAGAGCCGUAGAAGAUUUAAUAAAAGUAGAAGAAUGAUAAUAAAAGAAUUUACUGGUCUCUGGUCUCACCUUUGCAUUGA